CCUACGGGCGGCAGCAGUGGGGAAUAUUGGACAAUGGGGGCAACCCUGAUCCAGCCAUGCCGCGUGUGUGAAGAAGGCCCUCGGGUUGUAAAGCACUUUCAGUGAGGAAGAACGCCUGGUGGUUAAUACCCAUCAGGAAAGACAUCACUCACAGAAGAAGCACCGGCUAACUCCGUGCCAGCAGCCGCGGUAAUACGGAGGGUGCGAGCGUUAAUCGGAAUUACUGGGCGUAAAGCGCGCGUAGGUGGCUUGAUAAGCCGGUUGUGAAAGCCCCGGGCUCAACCUGGGAACGGCAUCCGGAACUGUCAAGCUAGAGUGCAGGAGAGGAAAGUAGAAUUCCCGGUGUAGCGGUGAAAUGCGUAGAGAUCGGGAGGAAUACCAGUGGCGAAGGCGGCCUUCUGGACUGACACUGACACUGAGGUGCGAAAGCGUGGGUAGCAAACAGGAUUAGAUACCCGAGUAGUC
rnacentral:rRNA from 1 species